rnacentral:rRNA from 1 species
GACGAACCGUGCGAACGUUGUUCGGAAUCACUGGGCUUAAAGGGCGCGUAGGCGGGCGACCAAGUCAGGGGUGAAAUCCUCCGGCUCAACCGGAGAACAGCCUUUGAUACUGGUCACCUCGAGGGAGGUAGGGGCAUGUGGAACUUCCGGUGGAGCGGUGAAAUGCGUAGAUAUCGGAAGGAACGCCGGUGGCGAAAGCGACGUGCUGGACCUCUUCUGACGCUGAGGCGCGAAAGCUAGGGGAGCAAACAGG